rnacentral:tRNA from 1 species
GGAUCAGUAGCUCAGUUGGUAGAGCAUCGGACUCUUAAUCCGCUGGUCCUGGGUUCAAGUCCCAGCUGAUCCACCA